CCUACGGGUGGCUGCAGUGGGGAAUAUUGGACAAUGGGGGCAACCCUGAUCCAGCCAUGCCGCGUGUGUGAAGAAGGCCCUCGGGUUGUAAAGCACUUUCAGUGAGGAAGAACGCCUGGUGGUUAAUACCCAUCAGGAAAGACAUCACUCACAGAAGAAGCACCGGCUAACUCCGUGCCAGCAGCCGCGGUAAUACGGAGGGUGCGAGCGUUAAUCGGAAUUACUGGGCGUAAAGCGCGCGUAGGUGGCUUGAUAAGCCGGUUGUGAAAGCCACGGGCUCAACCUGGGAACGGCAUCCGGAACUGUCAAGCUAGAGUGCCGGAGAGGAAGGUAGAAUUCCCGGUGUAGCGGUGAAAUGCGUAGAGAUCGGGAGGAAUACCAGUGGCGAAGGCGGCCUUCUGGACUGACACUGACACUGAGGUGCGAAAGCGUGGGUAGCAAACAGGAUUAGAUACCCGUGUAGUC
rnacentral:rRNA from 1 species